ensembl:lncRNA
ACUACAUCCUAAAUGCAACCAGUGCUCUCUACAGGAACACUCUGAAGAAAUAACACUUCCCCAGGAGAUGGAGCAAGAAGAUAGUGUGUUGCAGAUGUCUUUUAGAACAGAGGCUGACACAGACAAGGAGAGAAAAAUUAAAUAGGGUAGCUUCACAGCAAGACGCUGGGCUUUGGGACCAGUGGAGCACAAAGUUGGACCCAGAGGAUGUGUGCAUGAUGCGGGACCAGGUGCAAUAGUGCAUCAGCAAGAACAGCUUCCUGAAUGACUACAGCGGCUGAGUGACAGCAUUAAAACAGCAUUAAAACACAACUACAGAGGUGGCAGGAGAAGGGGAGCCCCUGUCCCUGUUCCACAGCCCAUCUCCGGUAGCGUCUGCCUGUCUGAAAGCUGAGUGCACCUGGAUCAGGACCUGCUCUCCAUCAGUCUUGGCGCCCUGGUGUCAGCAAUGCUAGGUACCCCAGCAAAGCUGGACACUUCUGUGAUCACGAAUAGCAUCUGCAGAGUUAAUGCAGAGUCCCAGUGAGCUAUGUGGACGCGCAGCUGCCUUGGUCACCCUAAAGAGCCAUCCCUCAUCUCACCCUCCCCAGUGCUAUCCCAUCAAUUUCUUCUUCCCUUUUUUUUUUUAUUGUGGGGCUUAUACAAGGUAGGAGUUACUCACAUCACAACAAUAUGGCAGUUUACGUCUGUUGAUGGAAUUCAACUAUAGCCAUGGGAAACGAGCUUUUGAAAGUCAUAAACUAAGAGUGCUGGCUCAGGCUGACUCCCAGUGUCUGAAUCUUGCUAAAGUGCAGCCAAAUUGUGCCGCUGAUUUGGUUCAGCAGUCCUUGAUCUAUUUUGAUCCGUCUCGAUAGCUUUCAUAAGCACAGGUUGGGAAAACUGAUGAGGAAAAAAUAAAAAAGCUUUAGCUCAAAGUAAGCAGCAAGAUGCAGUGCUCUGAGAGCUGGCAAACCUCUGUGCUUUGUGCACCUUCCAGAUGAAUGUAUAAUUGCAAAGGAAGAAUGUUUUUGGAGAUAGGUGUUGCCAGCUGAAACAGAAAACAUGUUUCUGUAAACAGCAGUUGUUACAUUUGAUUUUUUUUUUUUCACAGAAUUAAAGCUGAUGUUCUUUUCUUUAACAGUCCCUUAUGUUUCUGCCUGGUCACCCUUGUGUCUUUUUUCCAUAUUACCUGUUGCCAUAAUAUCCAAGUAACGAUGCCAACACGAUCUGAGAUGAGUGAAACUGCACGUUGCCGUGUGUUUGCCUUUAACUUGGACAAAGAAAAUAUGAGAGAAAGCUGCACCAGAUGUCUGCAACUAGCAGGGCUGAGAACUGUGCUUGGGUGAGGGUAUUCAUGUACACGGCUUCAAGUCUGUCCCAAAGCCUCCUCCAUUAGCACUUGGGCUCCCUGCCUAUUCGCUGGAGAGAGGUGCCCAGUUCAGAGCAUGCCUGAGCUGGCAGUCUUCUUGGUCCUCAGCAUAUAUGGAACAUGAGCGUAAGUGUUAAUUGAUCAGCCUUCUUUCCUCAGCAAAAGUUUGUGUAUGAGUGCACGUAUAUUGCCUUGUUUUUUUAAUCUUACUAGAACUUUUUGGGUUGAAGAAGAAAAAGAAGUGCACUUUCAGAAUUUCACUGUUUUCUGAACGCUUAAUCUUGUUGUCCAUGUGGAUGUUCUGCCUUGGAGAUGACCCAUAUGCCUUAAAAUACUUUCCUCUCAGAGCAAAGACAGGUAGAGGAGUGAGGGUUGUUAUUAUGGCCCCUGGGAACACCAAGAGUGGACUUUUUGAAGAACUUUCCCUCCUUUUGUUACCUGUAGUUGUGAUCUGAGAAAUCUCUCCCAAAAAGUGAAAAGCCAAAUAUGAGCACAUGUUUUCUACUUCUAGAUACUGUGUUGAACUGCGGCCUCAGGUGCCAGUAAAAUAACUGUCCUUUCUUGUCCAUGUUAGGAACAGUUUUGGGACUCUAUUAGAUGAAGUGCUAUAGUAUUGUGCUUACAACUGCUUACAUAUUGAAUGGUUCUGCUGGAGAGCAGUACAUGGCCAAGAACAAUAAAUUUCAAAAUGACUAUGCUGUCUAUGAAGACCUUUAAGAGAAGCUAAUUCCUUUGCCUCUUUCAUGGUAAAUACACCUGAGCUGCAAGGCAGAAAAAACUUUAUGUCCUUUCAUCUUGGUAGUGUUGGAGUGCUUGAGCCGGCCUGCUCCCUUCGGUCCCUUCAUCCUUUUUCUAAUAGCUUGUGCUUUUGUAUUUGGGAAUGAAGAAAGCCGCAGCAUUCUGGGCUGAGCUGCAAGGAAAUACUCCAACUUAUUGCUCAGAGGUAGCUGGCGGGGAAGAUGCCAUCUCUGUUGCUUUUGAGGCUUCCUCUUUUGAAUCAUAGAAUCAUAGAAUUGUUUGAGAUGGAAGGGACCCUUAAAGGCCAUCUAGUCCAACUCCCCUGCAAUGAACAGGAACACCUACAGCAGAUCAGAUUGCUCAGAGCCCCGUCCAGCCUGACCUUGAGUGUCUCCAGGGACAGGGCAUCCACCACCUCUCUGGGCAACCUGUUCCAGUGUCUCACCACACUAAUCAUAAAAAACUUCUUCCUUACAUCCAGUCUGAAUCUCCCUUCUUUUAAUUAUGAAACCAUUUCCCCUUAUUGUAUCACAGCAGACCCUGCUGAAGUGUCUGUCCCCUUCUUUCUUACAGUCCCCCUUUAGAUACUGAAAGGUCUCUAUCAGGCCUCCAUGGAGCCUUCUCUUGCCCAGACUGAACAGCCCCAGCUCUCUCAGCCUGUCCUUGCAGGGAGGUGUUCCAUCCCUGGGAUCCUCCUCUGGGCAUGCUCCAACAGGCCUGUGUCUCUCCUGUGUUGAGGACUCCACAUCUGGACGCAGUACUCCAGGGAAAGUCUUACCAGUGCAGAGGGGCAGGAUCACCUCCCUAGACCUGCCAGCCACACUUCUUUAGAUGUAACCCAGAGACUUCCCCUGACUGCCACGACUUCAAAUGUCACUGAAAGUGGCUUGGUGACUACAUCAGUCAGUUCCCUCAGGACUCUGGGAUGCAUGUCAUUGAGAUUUAUGGGUGUUCAGGUUCCUCACGCGAUUGUGAACCUGAUUUUUGCUUGCUUACAGCUGGAGGGGCACUGUUCCCACAGCCCCCACACAGGAGCCUGAGAUCAGUGCGUGGGUGUUAGUGAGCCUGGCCAGAGGAAAAAGGACAAGGCUUUAGCCUGCAGAUGUAGAAACGACUUCUCCAGGCUGCUACACUGUCGGCUGUAUCAGUGUUGAUCCUACAGAGCUCAGAAGAAAG